rnacentral:rRNA from 1 species
UACGUAGGGUGCAAGCGUUGUCCGGAAUUAUUGGGCGUAAAGAGCUUGUAGGCGGUUUGUCGCGUCUGCUGUGAAAUUUCGGGGCUCAACCCCGAACUUGCAGUGGGUACGGGCAGACUAGAGUGUGGUAGGGGAGACUGGAAUUCCUGGUGUAGCGGUGAAAUGCGUAGAGAUCCGGAGGAACCCCAGUGGCGAAGGCGACACGCUGGGCCAUACCUGACGCUAAAGCGCGACAGCAUGGGGAGCAAACGGG